rnacentral:rRNA from 1 species
GGAUGAACGCUGGCGGCGUGCCUAAUACAUGCAAGUCGAGCGAACGGACGAGAAGCUUGCUUCUCUGAUGUUAGCGGCGGACGGGUGAGUAACACGUGGAUAACCUACCUAUAAGACUGGGAUAACUUCGGGAAACCGGAGCUAAUACCGGAUGAUAUUUUGAACCGCAUGGUUCAAAAGUGAAAGACGGUCUUGCUGUCACUUAUAGAUGGAUCCGCGCUGCAUUAGCUAGUUGGUAAGGUAACGGCUUACCAAGGCAACGAUGCAUAGCCGACCUGAGAGGGUGAUCGGCCACACUGGAACUGAGACACGGUCCAGACUCCUACGGGAGGCAGCAGUAGGGAAUCUUCCGCAAUGGGCGAAAGCCUGACGGAGCAACGCCGCGUGAGUGAUGAAGGUCUUCGGAUCGUAAAACUCUGUUAUUAGGGAAGAACAUAUGUGUAAGUAACUGUGCACAUCUUGACGGUACCUAAUCAGAAAGCCACGGCUAACUACGUG